CAUGGUUGUCGUCAGCUCGUGUCGUGAGAUGUUGGGUUAAGUCCCGCAACGAGCGCAACCCUCGACCUUAGUUGCCAGCAUUCAUUGGGCACUCUAAGGUGACUGCCGGCUAAAAGUCGAGGAAGUGGGGAUGACGUCAAAUCAUCAUGCCCUUAUGACCUGGGCUACACACGUGCUACAAUGGGCGGUACAAAGGGUCGCGAACCCGCAGGGGGAGCCAAUCCCAAAAAGCCGCUCUCAGUUCGGAUUGCAGGCUGCAACUCGCCUGCAUGAAGCCGGAAUCGCUAGUAAUCGCGGAUCAGCACGCCGCGGUGAAUACGUUCCCGGGCCUU
rnacentral:rRNA from 1 species